UUCAGAAUAGAAGCACUCUGUGUCCAAGGGUGCUGCUCACAUGGGAAUGAUGGUGGGUGGAGCACAGAAGAGAGAUGGAGUGAGAGGCAGGAAUGCUUCCCAGCUGUGGGUGACAGAGACAGAUGGGUACCAAAGUGGGAGCCCCCAGCACUGGAGCACCACCAAGAAGCUGCGGUGAUGGGCAGAUGCCCAGGGCAGGGUCUGAAGUGCCCAGAACAUGCAGCGAGGGACAGUGCUGUGAUAAAGGAUGGAAGGAGAUUGGUAGCCAUGGCAGAAGCCACAUGCUGUGUUUUUAAAAUAAAAUGCUCAGGAAGGACUGUGUGUGGGAG
rnacentral:lncRNA from 1 species